CGCUUAUGUAUCAAACAGAGGCAAAACAAAAAUGGCGUCGAAAUAGGGCAGCGUCAUUUCGGUUCACUCGAUAUUUAGUCCUUGGCCUCGGGCCAACGAUAGUUACUAACGACUAACGACAUGGACACUUUUGUUGAAUAUAAUUAUUCACUGUGGAAGGGUAACAGAUUGCUGAUUUAAGUGUUGGCCGUCUGUGUCAUUGUGUGUUUAUGUAAGUUAAAUAUUUUAUAAUUUUAUUUCAGUGAAAGUCCAUCCUAGGGGAUGCUUUGUUCGAGCCAAAUGCUGCAGAUCUUUUGAAAUGAAGAGUGCAGUUUGGAAUGUACAUAUAUCCAUGCUGAAUUCCAAGGAGAUCGAGUCACAGUCAUGUGAAUGCAGUGCUGAAAUGGUUCAUGCGCCCAUGUUGCAGCCUUAGUGUACCAGGUGGCCUACUACAAUACGCUUCACAAGGCAACUGUGCCGGAAAUGGUGUCGAAAAUAUCUUGCCCGCAGUCUUUUCACAUUCCAUCAAAAGUUGACGGCAUCAAACCAAGACCUGUCAAUGAGGUCUCAUUUGUCAAGCCAAACCCUAAGAAGUCACUUCAUGAACAAUCAGAGUCCUGUAUUUGCAGCACUCUAUAUAAUCCUGUGAACAUCCCCUACCCUGACAUUUCAUUUUUGGAUGGCAUACAGACAUUGUUACCACUAUGUGAUGACACUCUACAGAUUUUCAAGAUUUUGCCACAAACAAGUCAUCGUCCACCAGUGAAAACAAAUACAUAUGGGACUGUGAAUAGUGGCAGUACAUUGGAACAUCAGUUACCGGAGCCGAAAGCAGAUGGCAGCAAUUUUCGGAUACCUGUUGGGUCAGAGUUUCCUAAGCUUUCCGUACAUGAUCGUUAUGUAUAACCAGUCUAUGCAACAUUAUUGUCUGAGAAUGAAUCUCUGUUUAUGGAUAGUUUGCAGGUAUCAGAGAGUGAAUCGUUGAGAUUGAGCAACAGACACGAUCACAAAGUCUCAAUCCACUCUGGAUCAGACUACGACAAAAGCGCUUGACUGCUUCAAUCUUUAAGGAUGUAGUUAGUCGACAGAAGGACUUUGAAUAACUCAUGGAACGUCUAACAGACGGCUGCCAUGAAACAUGUACUGGAACAUGAAUGCGAGGCAGCUCUUGAAUACUCGACCCAUAAACAAGUGAAUGAAAGACCAUGUGGCUUCGUUAUAAAUCCAGCAGCUCCAUUCAUCGGUGCGUCUCAUGACAGAAUUGUGUAUGACUUUUCAGAGUCUGACCCUUUCGGCUUCUUGCAGAUAAAGUGCCCGUUAAAGGAGUCGUACAAGGAAGCACCAUGUCUGAACGGAAACUCUGAUGGGACAUUAGUCUUCGGAAAAGUCACUCCUACUUUAUGCAGGUCAUGGGACAAAUGGCAGUUACUGGACUACCAUGGUGUGACUUGUGUGUCUGGACAGAAAACGACAUGCAUAUCGAAAGAAUUUAUUUUAAUGACAAAAUGUGGUCCGAUAUGUUUUCCAAACUAUUAAUAUUUUACCAUGAGCAUCUGAUAGAGAAAUUUGUUUAGAGCAACAUGAGCACUAUUCUCUCAUAAAUAUACUGAAUGAGGUCGCGGUGCUGUAAUAGCUGUGCUAUUCGCCUAGCAAUCAAGAGGUCGCGUGUUUUAUCACUAAUCUCAGAAUGUUUUCAUGAUCUGAUCCACUAAGUACUGGUUCUUCCCAGGAAAGUAGCUUUCAAUGCAAUAAAGUACUGGUUCCUCCCAGGAAAGGAGCUUUCAAUGCAAUACAUUUCAAAUGAAUAAGUUUAAAUUAGCAUAUAUACUGAUAUAAUCAUCUUUUGAUAAUGUUAAUAAACAAAGAUAUCCUUUUCAUGUUUGUUGAAGUAUGAUUGCAGUUUAAUGACAUGUAUGAUGCAUAUAUUAUUCUUUAGAGGUGAAAACCUUAAGGUUUAUUGCUUAAUCAACUAAUCAACAAACUAGUGUUGUAUUACUUACGAACAAACAGGGAAAUAAAUAACAAUUACUGUU